UGACAAUCCAUAACUCCAGGGUGGCCU
rnacentral:piRNA from 1 species